GUUGGGAGGGCGAGCGAGCCAUGAAAGGAGGAGGAGGAGAGAGAGAGGAAGGCAGAUGAAGAGAGAGUAUAACUUUGGGGGAAUCGCAGGAAGAAGGCAGCACAGGAAGAAACUUUUGGCUGUUAUCUUUUUUUUGUUUUCUCCAUGUGAGUGGAAUCUAUGUUGACAGGCUAAAGAAAAUGAGCCAUUGUGCCGUUUCGGUCUUUAUCUAACUGCUGGCUUCAGUGUUGAAGUUUGGAAGAAAACGAGGAGCACAAAGUCUUUCCAAAGUAGGCUCACACCUGUUUUCCCUGAGGAUUCCCCGGAGCGCCAUCAUGGGCCGUGGCGCCUGAGGGAAUCUUUGCAUCUGGUGUUCUGGAAGCAAGAGAAGCUUUAGGAGGGAGAUGUCAUCCUACUUCACACGUACCAAAGACCUGACUCAUACCAGGAGGUCACUCACCGACUCACCGCCAUCCUCUCCAUCCCCUACUGACAAAAGCUUCCGACAUGACAGACUGUCAAGAUAUGACUCCAGUGGAGAUAAUGUGGCAGACAAAUUGGGGCGGACCAGCUCCUACACCCGCAGAGAGACCAGACUGGCUUCUCUGAGUAAGCAGGAGCAAGACACCACGAGCAAAGACUAUAAGAAGAUGUACGCAGAAGCACUACACGAGAAUGAGCGCCUUAAGUCUAGGCUGCAGGACAGCAAACAAGAACUUGUCAACAUUCGUUCCCAGUUGGACAAAGUAACUCAGAGGCAAGACAGGAUAUCGGAGAAAUCUACUCAGCUUGAAGCUGAGAAAAAGGAGAAACAGGCCCUCGAGAAGAGAGUGUCAGGCAUGGAAGACGAAAUAAAGACUUUCCCCGCUCUGGCUCAGGUGCAAACCUUGCGGAGCAUCAACGAACGUCUCCUGGCCGAGAACAGAGCCUUGCUGCGUGCCCUGUCCUGCCUCUCUGAGACAGCUUCCGUGCCGGAGACAGAGGACCUCUGAAUUCACCUGUUCUCCUUUCAAGCCUCCUCCUCCUCCUCCUCCUGCCCCAUUUCUCUGCACAACCCUCCUUCUGGUGCCUCCAUAACCCGCUCUUCCUCCACUGUGCUCCUCUCAGGUCUUAACAGAGCUCAAGGCAGACAACCAGAGGCUAAAGGAUGAGAACGGUGCGCUCAUUCGGGUCAUCAGCAAACUGUCUAAAUGAAAGAAUGUUCUGAUUUGCAGUUAUUCACCAUGAGGUCACACUUCCUACUUCUUGUGAGGUGGAUCUAAAUUUCCAAAUUUGUGAUGGAUGCUGGAGUUAUAAUAAAUAAUAACAAUUAUCCAGUGUUUUCUUUCAGGGACCACACAUGCAGUUUAAUUCCUAUUUAAGUAUGCUAUUAUUCCAUGGAGAUGCCGUGACUAUAAUAUUGUAAACUUGCCGAGUCAUGAUUGUGUCCGUAGUACCAUGUGACCCAUAAGAACCCAUGGUCGCCAAACAAUUACAAGUCCUAAACGGUUUCUGCUUGGGGGCACCUAUGAAUAUUUGAAUCUACAUUUAACACACUUCCUUGUGGUCUAUGUAAUAUGUAUUUGAUAUGUUUUGGCGUAAAUUUUGCUCCAUGGUCACAUUUAUAACCUACUUUCUGCUAAUGUGGGUUUGUGUGCGUAGGCGUUCCGUUCAGAUUGCAAAUGAAACCACGCCCCGCGCUCUACAAAAGUGUCAUUAUAUAUCUUUUGAAAAUGUAAAUUGUUUAAAUAUAUCUUGAAAAUGAAUGUCACCGCUAUUUUUGUUUUUCAUUUAGUUGUAAAAAACACAGAAUACGUUUUUGUUAUGAAUGAUCUUCGUCAUAAUCAACUAAUUAGAGGCUAACUCACAAAAUCGAGUAUCAGUGUUACUAUUUACUUUGUAUCUGAUCAACACAAACAUUCCCAGUAUCGCCCACCCCUACCAAACAGCAGUCCAGGCUCAGCAGAGGUGCCCUCAUAAGUAAAGCCUUAAAAUGUAUAUGUUCUUUCAGAGUACAUUUGUAGUACUAAUCACAAAACACUGUCAAGUUUGGGUAUUUUUUUAAAAAGCAGUACAUUUACCAUACACACAAUGUUACGAUUAUAUAACAUCACGGAUCUUUGACAUUAAU